CCUCUGCUUUUCUACAGGGAGCUGGCACCCAGGAAUGGUGCAGAUGGAGUUUUGCAGGCUCAGGGGCAGCUCUGUCUGUCCCGGGCACCCCAUGCCCUGCUCAGCGUGGGUAGGGUGUUGGCGGCCUGCGGCGCGGGGCUUUGGUCCUUGGAGGCGGAGUCUUGGGAGACUCUGGUCUGUUGCGUGUGGGUGGCAGCAAACCAGAUCGGCUGGUGGAGGGCUCCUCAGGCAGGCUGCACUCAUGGUGAGACGGUGAUGCCGCCGUCUCCUGAGGUUCUGCCUGCGCCGGCCUGUCCUUCUUGGCCAUCUGCCUCUGCCUGAGUAGUUUCACAGAGUCACGAUGCAGUAACGGCGGCCGGGAUGCGUGGCCUUUGGUAUCCCUGGACAGGCUGGACUCAGCUCUUAAUGAACAUCUCCUGUCUUUGAUGCGAGAUGCCACC
ensembl:lncRNA